UCCCUGGAGGACUAGUGGUUAGGCAUUGCUGCUCUCACCGCCGCUGCCCGGGUUCGAUUCCCAAUCAGGGAA
rnacentral:tRNA from 1 species